rnacentral:rRNA from 1 species
ACGCACGCUGGCGGCGUGCUUCACCCAUGCAAGUCGCACGGAAAGGCCCUGCUUUUGUGGGGUGCUCGAGUGGCGAACGGGUGAGUCACACGUGAGUAACCUGCCCUUGACUUUGGGAUAACUUCAGGAAACUGGGGCUAAUACCGGAUAGGAGCUCCUGCUGCAUGGUGGGGGUUGGAAAGUUUCGGCGGUUGGGGAUGGACUCGCGGCUUAUCAGCUUGUUGGUGGGGUAGUGGCUUACCAAGGCUUUGACGGGUAGCCGGCCUGAGAGGGUGACCGGCAACAUUGGGACUGAGAUACGGCCCAGACUCCUACGGGAGGCAGCAGUGGGGAAUAUUGCACAAUGGGAGGAAGCCUGAUGCAGCAACGCCGCGUGCGGGAUGACGGCCUUCGGGUUGUAAACCGCUUUCGCCUGUGACGAAGCGUGAGUGACGGUAAUGGGUAAAGAAGCACCGGCUAACUACGUG